rnacentral:rRNA from 1 species
UACGUAGGGGGCUAGCGUUGUCCGGAAUCAUUGGGCGUAAAGCGCGUGUAGGCGGUUCGGUAAGUCCGCUGUGAAAGUCGGGGCUCAACCCUCGGAGCCGGUGGAUACUGUCGAGCUAGAGUACGGAAGAGGCGAGUGGAAUUCCUGGUGUAGCGGUGAAAUGCGCAGAUAUCAGGAGGAACACCCAAUUGCGAAGGCAGCUCGCUGGGACGUUACUGACGCUGAGACGCGAAAGCGUGGG